rnacentral:rRNA from 1 species
AACGAACGCUGGCGGCAUGCCUAACACAUGCAAGUCGAACGAGACCUUCGGGUCUAGUGGCGCACGGGUGCGUAACGCGUCGGAACCUGCCCUUAGGUUCGGAAUAACUCCCCGAAAGGGGUGCUAAUACCGGCUAAUGUCUUCGGACCAAAGAUUUAUCGCCUUUGGAUGGGCCCGCGUUGGCUUAGCUAGUUGGUAGGGUAAAAGCCUACCAAGGCGACGAUAGAUAGCUGGUCUGAGAGGAUGGUCAGCCACACUGGGACUGAGACACGGCCCAGACUCCUACGGGAGGCAGCAGUGGGGAAUAUUGGACAAUGGGCGAAAGCCUGAUCCAGCAAUGCCGCGUGAGUGAUGAAGGCCUUAGGGUUGUAAAGCUCUUUUACCCGGGAUGAUAAUGACAGUACCGGGAGAAUAAGCUCCGGCUAACUCCGUG